CCUACGGGAGGCAGCAGUGGGGAAUCUUGCGCAAUGGGCGAAAGCCUGACGCAGCAACGCCGCGUGCGGGAAGAAGGCUUUCGGGCUGUAAACCGCUUUCAGCAGGAACGAAAAUGACGGUACCUGCAGAAGAAGGAGCGGCCAACUAUGUGCCAGCAGCCGCGGUGAUACAUAGGCUUCAAGCGUUGUCCGGAUUUAUUGGGCGUAAAGAGUUCGUAGGCGGUCAAGUAAGUCGGGUGUGAAAAUUCUGGGCUCAACCCAGAGACGCCACCCGAUACUGCUUAACUUGAGUUCGAUAGGGGAGUGGGGAAUUCCUAGUGUAGCGGUGAAAUGCGCAGAUAUUAGGAGGAACACCGGUGGCGAAGGCGCCACUCUGGAUCGAUACUGACGCUGAGGAACGAAAGCAUGGGUAGCAAACAGGAUUAGAUACCCUGGUAGUCCAUGCCGUAAACGGUGGGCACUAGGUGUGGGUUUCUAUUAACGAAAUCCGCGCCGUCGCUAACGCAUUAAGUGCCCCGCCUGGGGAGUACGGUCGCAAGACUAAAACUCAAAGAUUAGAGG
rnacentral:rRNA from 1 species